CACUCACCGGUGAAGGCGGGGCAGUACGCUGACUCACACCUGACAGAAUGAGCUCUGAGUGUGUGUGUGUGUGUGUGUGUGUGUGUGUGUGUGUGUGUGUGUGUGUGUGUGCGUGUGUGUGUGUGUGUGUGUGUGUGAAGGGAAAAUGGAACGCUGCUGCCAUGUGGAAGCUGGUUGGCAGCAUUCAGGUGGAUGAAGCUAAAUAUUCCAGCAUUCCAGGAAGAAAAGCUGACAGAAGCAUCAACAGACUCCCUGUAAGACCGGCCGAAACAUUCAGCUGGAGCUAAAAUGAAAUACAAAGUUUAUUCAUUCAUUAGAAUAGACGCGUCAAAGUCCAGUCAGAAAUCGUAUUUAGAAUCUGAGGAAACACUGG